rnacentral:rRNA from 1 species
AUUGAACGCUGGCGGCAGGCCUAACACAUGCAAGUCGAACGAGUGGCGGACGGGUGAGUAAUUUCUGGGAAACUGCCUGAUGGAGGGGGAUAACUACUGGAAACCGUAGCUAAUACCGCAUACCAUCAGAUCUGCCCAGAUGGGAUUAUCUACUUGGUGUGGUAACGGCUCACCAAGGCGACGCUCCCUAGCUGGUCUGAGAGGGUGACCAGCCACACUGGAACUGAGACACGGUCCAGACUCCUACGGGAGGCAGCAGUGGGGAAUAUUGCACAAUGGGCGCAAGCCUGAUGCAGCCAUGCCGCGUGUGUGAAGAAGGCCUUCGGGUUGUAAAGUACUUUCAGCGGGGAGGCGUUAUCCGCAGAAGAAGCACCGGCUAACUCCGUGCCAGCAGCCGCGGUAAUUC